rnacentral:rRNA from 1 species
GACGAACGCUGGCGGCGUGCUUAACACAUGCAAGUCGAACGGUAAGGCCCUUCGGGGUACACGAGUGGCGAACGGGUGAGUAACAAGUGGGUGAUCUGCCCUGCACUUCGGGAUAAGCCUGGGAAACUGGGUCUAAUACCGGAUAGGACCACUGCCUGCAUGGGUGGUGGGGGAAAGCUUUUGCGGUGUGGGAUGGGCCCGCGGCCUAUCAGCUUGUUGGUGGGGUGAUGGCCUACCAAGGCGACGACGGGUAGCCGGCCUGAGAGGGUGACCGGCCACACUGGGACUGAGAUACGGCCCAGACUCCUACGGGAGGCAGCAGUGGGGAAUAUUGCACAAUGGGCGCAAGCCUGAUGCAGCGACGCCGCGUGAGGGAUGACGGCCUUCGGGUUGUAAACCUCUUUCAGCACCGACGAAGCGCAAGUGACGGUAGGUGCAGAAGAAGGACCGGCCAACUACGUGCCAGCAGCCGCCGUAA